rnacentral:rRNA from 1 species
UACGAAGGGUGCAAGCGUUAAUCGGAAUUACUGGGCGUAAAGCGUGCGCAGGCGGUGAUGUAAGACAGUUGUGAAAUCCCCGGGCUCAACCUGGGAACUGCAUCUGUGACUGCAUCGCUGGAGUGCGGCAGAGGGGGAUGGAAUUCCGCGUGUAGCAGUGAAAUGCGUAGAUAUGUGGAGGAAUACCGAUGGCGAAGGCAGCCCCCUGGGAUAACACUGACGCUCAUGCACGAAAGCGUGGGGAGCAAACAGG